CAUUUGUUCUCUAAAUAAGGACUUGUAUGAAUGGCCACACGAGGGUUUUACUGUCUCUUACUUCCAAUCAGUGAAAUUGACCUCCCCGUGAAGAGGCGGGGAUAAACUAAUAAGACGAGAAGACCCUAUGGAGCUUUAACUAACCAAUUCAAAGAAAACAUAAUAAAUCACCCAAGAGAUAACAACAUUUUCUUAUGAGUUGACAGUUUCGGUUGGGGUGACCUCGGAGAAUAAAAAAUCCUCCGAACGAUUCUAAAGACUAGACCCACAAGUCAAAUCACUCAAUCGCUCAUUGAUCCAAAAAACUUGAUCAACGGAACAAGUUACCCUAGGGAUAACAGCGCA
rnacentral:rRNA from 1 species